AGUGAACGCUGGCGGUAGGCCUAACACAUGCAAGUCGAACGGCAGCACAGAGGAGCUUGCUCCUUGGGUGGCGAGUGGCGGACGGGUGAGGAAUACAUCGGAAUCUACUCUGUCGUGGGGGAUAACGUAGGGAAACUUACGCUAAUACCGCAUACGACCUACGGGUGAAAGCAGGGGAUCUUCGGACCUUGCGCGAUUGAAUGAGCCGAUGUCAGAUUAGCUAGUUGGCGGGGUAAAGGCCCACCAAGGCGACGAUCCGUAGCUGGUCUGAGAGGAUGAUCAGCCACACUGGAACUGAGACACGGUCCAGACUCCUACGGGAGGCAGCAGUGGGGAAUAUUGGACAAUGGGCGCAAGCCUGAUCCAGCCAUACCGCGUGGGUGAAGAAGGCCUUCGGGUUGUAGAGCCCUUUUGUUGGGAAAGAAAUCCAUCUGGUUAAUACCCGGGUGGGAUGACGGUACCCAAAGAAUAAGCACCGGCUAACUUCGUGCCAGCCGCCGCAGUAA
rnacentral:rRNA from 1 species